UACGGAGGGUGCAAACGUUGCUCGGAAUCAUUGGGCGUAAAGCGCACGUAGGCGGCUAGAUAAGUCGGGUGUGAAAGCCCUGGGCUCAACCCAGGAAGUGCAUUCGAAACUGUCUAGCUUGAAUCUCGGAGGGGGUCAGAGAAUUCCCGGUGUAGAGGUGAAAUUCGUAGAUAUCGGGAGGAAUACCAGUGGCGAAGGCGCUGACCUGGACGAAGAUUGACGCUGAGGUGCGAAAGCGUGGGGAGCAAACAGG
rnacentral:rRNA from 1 species